rnacentral:miRNA from 1 species
GUGGACCAGGAUGGCAAGGGCU